rfam:Asian citrus Psyllid, Diaphorina citri - Florida Strain, whole genome shotgun sequence.
GCCUAGUUAGCUUAGUUGGUAGUGCGUCUGCCUUGUAAGCGCUAGGUCGCGGGUUCGAUUCCCGCCCGGGG